AACACGUGGAUAACCUACCUAUAUGACUGGGAAAACUUCGGGAAACCGGAGUUAAUACCGGACGAUAUUUUGAAUCACAUGGUUCAAAAUGGAAAGACGGUCUUGCUGCACCUUAUAGAUGGAUACGGGCUGCAUUAGCAAGUUGGUAAGGUAACGGCUUACCAAGGCAACGAAGCAUAGCCGACCUGAGAGGGUGAUCGGCCACACUGGAACUGAGACACGGUCCAGACUCCUACGGGAGGCAGCAGUAGGGAAUCUGCCGCAAUGGGCGAAAGCCUGGCGGAGCAACGCCGCGUGAGUGAUGAAGGUCUUCGGAUCGUAAAACUCUGUUAUUAGGGAAGAACAUAUGUGUAAGUAACUGUGCACAUCUUGACGGUACCUAAUCAGAAAGCCACGGCUAACUA
rnacentral:rRNA from 1 species